rnacentral:rRNA from 1 species
GACGAACGCUGGCGGCGUGCUUAACACAUGCAAGUCGAACGGAAAGGCCCUGCUUUUGUGGGGUGCUCGAGUGGCGAACGGGUGAGUAACACGUGAGUAACCUGCCCUUGACUUUGGGAUAACUUCAGGAAACUGGGGCUAAUACCGGAUAGGAGCUCCUGCUGCAUGGUGGGGGUUGGAAAGUUUCGGCGGUUGGGGAUGUACUCGCGGCUUAUCAGCUUGUGGGUGGGGUAGUGGCUUACCAAGGCUUUGACGGGUAGCCGGCCUGAGAGGGUGACCGGCCACAUUGGGACAGAGAUACGGCCGAGACUCCUACGGGAGACAGCAGUGGGAAAUAUUGAAAAAUGGACGGAAGACUGAUGCAGCAACGCAGCGUGUGGGAUGACGGCCUUCGGGUUGUCAACAGCUUUAGCCUGUGACGAAGCGUGAGUGACGGUAAUGGGUAAAGAAGCACCGGCUAACUACGUG